rnacentral:rRNA from 1 species
UACGAAGGGGGCUAGCGUUGCUCGGAAUCACUGGGCGUAAAGGGUGCGUAGGCGGGCCUUUAAGGCAGGGGUGAAAUCCUAGAGCUCAACUCCAGAACUGCCUUUGAUACUGAGGAUCUUGAGUUCGGGAGAGGUGAGUGGAACUGCGAGUGUAGAGGUGAAAUUCGUAGAUAUUCGCAAGAACACCAGUGGCGAAGGCGGCUCACUGGCCCGAUACUGACGCUGAGGCACGAAAGCGUGGGGAGCAAACAGG